CCCUCGGUCGUCUAGUUGGUUUAUGGCGUCCGGCUGUAAUUGUUCAGUCUUACCGGAAUGGUUAGUCCUACCAACAAAAUUGCCCUCAGCCGAUUGCUAACAAUCGUCCAGUCGCGCGUUCGACUCGCGCCUGAGGGA